rnacentral:tRNA from 1 species
AAAUAAGAAUUAAACAUUCAGUUUCGACCUGAAUUUAGAGAAAUUAUUUCUCCUUAUUUU